rnacentral:rRNA from 1 species
UGGGGAAUAUUGCACAAUGGGCGAAAGCCUGAUGCAGCAACGCCGCGUGAGUGAUGAAGGUCUUCGGAUUGUAAAGCUCUGUCUUUUGGGACGAUAAUGACGGUACCAAAGGAGGAAGCCACGGCUAACUACGUGCCAGCAGCCGCGGUAAUACGUAGGUGGCGAGCGUUGUCCGGAUUUACUGGGCGUAAAGGGUGCGUAGGCGGAUGUUUAAGUGAGAUGUGAAAUACCCGGGCUUAACUUGGGUGCUGCAUUUCAAACUGGAUAUCUAGAGUGCAGGAGAGGAGAAUGGAAUUCCUAGUGUAGCGGUGAAAUGCGUAGAGAUUAGGAAGAACACCAGUGGCGAAGGCGAUUCUCUGGACUGUAACUGACGCUGAGGCACGAAAGCGUGGGUAGCAAACAGGAUUAGAUACCCUGGUAGUCCACGCCGUAAACGAUGAGUACUAGGUGUAGGAGGUAUCGACCCCUUCUGUGCCGCAGUAAACACAUUAAGUACUCCGCCUGGGAAGUACGAUCGCAAGAUUAAAACUCUAAAGUGAAUUGACGGGG